CCAGACACCAAGGGAAGGGAACCCAGAGUUCCUGUCCCCACCAAUCCCCACAGGAGCCCACCCAAGGCAAAGAGAACCAGGAAAUCUGGGCUUGGGGAGUGCAAGCUACUGGACUGAGAAUCCACAGACCUGGGUUCUGGUCCUGAUUCGGCCACUAGUUAGCACUAUGUCCUUGGGCAAGUCCCAAGCUGUCUGGGCCUUGCAUGCUUCAUCUGUAUAAGGAAAGGCUCUGCUUAGGGGGUCUCUAAAGGUCCUUCCAGGAUUAACUUUCUAUCUUCUGUGUUCUAAGCUCCCUCUAACUCUGACCAUUCCAUGGUGCUGCGUUCUAAGGCCCCUUCCAGUUCUAGUAUUCAAUGUUCUGUGUUCUAAGAUCCCUCUAGGUCUAAGGCCCCUUCCAGCUCUGGCAUUAGGAGUUCUCCUGUCCAUCCAGUUCCAGGAUCUGGUGGGUCCCGGCCAGGGCACGAUGGGUCUGUGCAGGACCAGGGCAGCCACCAGCCCUCAGUGCUCCGGAGAGGGACAAUGACCAGUGCCUGAAAGCUGCUGACAGGCAGUUUGAGCUAAUCCUGCAGCCCUGGCGGGCCCCAUUCCCCAGAUCUCAGAGUAGCUUCAGCCAGGCAGGGAUCAGACAGGCAGGGCACAGUGAGUUCUACCCAGAACGGGGCCAUGUGGACCUACUUCUGUUCCUUGUGCCAGUCUGCGGGGCCAGGGUCCCCCAGGCAGUCUCAGACCAAGAACAUUUCCAGGGUGGGAGUUGGUGCUGAGGUGAGUAGCCGAAGAGCCAAGACCUGGCCCCAUCAACAGAAUGGAAACUCCCUGAGGACAGGCAGUGCUCCUCCCCAGGCCCUUAAAUGCUUGUUAUUAGUUGAUCGAUUGCUCUGUCCCUGGCUUCUUCUUCUCCACAGGCAGGUGCUCAGGAAGAGAAGGGGAAAGCAGCGGAGAACCCCCAAGCGCCCUGGGCUCAGCGCCCCCCAGGAGCUGGGCAUUGUGCAGAGAGGACAGCCCAGAAGCUCUUGCUCCAUGCAGAGCUGA
rnacentral:lncRNA from 1 species